rnacentral:lncRNA from 1 species
UAGUCCCAACCCACAGGAGCACAUACCUACAGGAGCUGUGAGAUAGAGAAAGCUUUCCUUGGUAACUGUGGAGAGGACACGUUUCUUGCGAGUAUGGCUGGAGAAGCCCCCACCUCCGGUCCCAACACAACGGAACACAUGGAGUUUUGCUGUGGUGUCUGGAGGAUCCUGUCUUGAGCUUGCCUUUGCUUAGGCUGGACUGUGUAAGACAAGCACUGUGAAGUGUUCCAACUUUAUUUAAAACCAGACAGCCCUGCUACCAUGCCCCCGCUCC